rnacentral:rRNA from 1 species
CGUGCCUAACACAUGCAAGUCGAGCGAGGAGAUUCCUUCGGGAUGAUCCUAGCGGCGGACGGGUGAGUAACACGUGGGCAACCUGCCUCAUAGAGAGGAAUAGCCUUCCGAAAGGGAGAUUAAUACCUCAUAACAUUGCAGUUUCGCAUGGAACAGCAAUUAAAGGAGUAAUCCGCUAUGAGAUGGGCCCGCGGCGCAUUAGCUAGUUGGUGAGGUAACGGCUCACCAAGGCGACGAUGCGUAGCCGACCUGAGAGGGUGAUCGGCCACAUUGGGACUGAGACACGGCCCAGACUCCUACGGGAGGCAGCAGUGGGGAAUAUUGCACAAUGGGGGAAACCCUGAUGCCAGCAACGCCGCGUGAGUGAUGACGGCCUUCGGGUUGUAAAGCUCUGUCUUCAGGGACGAUAAUGACGGUACCUGAGGAGGAAGCCACGGCUAACUACGUGCCAGCCGCCGC